GAUGAGUCUAUUUGGUUGAAAUAUUCAGCAGAUUCCGUUGUUACCGUGCAGUAGAAUAGUCCUUUGUGCCUCUUCCGUGUGUAGUCGACCUAGAUGAAGACAGUUUCCCUGACGGAUAUUGUUGAACCAAACGUGGACAGUGCACAGGACGGUGGAGCCGUUGUUACUAUACUAGGUGAAGUGUAAAUUUGAGCUGAGAUUGUUUGGAGCAGGUGAUGAUUGGUAUCCUGCUCUUCUUCUACCCCUUCGAGGCUGGUUCCCAUCGCAGCUGGAUCUCAAGGAAACAAAUCGCUCUCUUGGAAGGAGCACUCGGGAAAAAGAGGUAUCCGGCAGUCAAAUCGGUGAUUACGUAUUCAAUUACGGUAUGCCGAUUGCUUGCCAUAAUGAGCCGAAAUUGAGUUGUAAUUAAUGUCGUUAAUUAUAAAUGAGCCGCUUCAGCUGAAGAGGCUUUUGAACUCAUCCGUUGAACUUCUUUUUCAGCCAACUUUCAGAGGAUGUAAGGAGUUAUUUGUAGGAAUUUCAGCUUCCAGAAUUCAAAUCAAGAAUCAAAAAUUGAAUUUUUGUCAGACCAAUUCGAUUGAUGAUAACAUGGGGUUGUGCUA